GGUUAAGCGACUAAGCGUACACGGUGGAUGCCCUGGCAGUCAGAGGCGAUGAAGGGCGUGCUAAUCUGCGAUAAGCGCCGGUAAGGUGAUAUGAACCGUUAUAACCGGCGAUACCCGAAUGGGGAAACCCAGUGUGAUUCGUCACACUAUCAUUACGUGAAUACAUAGCGUAAUGAAGCGAACCGGGGGAACUGAAACAUCUAAGUACCCCGAGGAAAAGAAAUCAACCGAGAUUCCCCCAGUAGCGGCGAGCGAACGGGGAGGAGCCCAGAGCCUGAAUCAGCAUGUGUGUUAGUGGAAGCGUCUGGAAAGGCGCGCGAUACAGGGUGACAGCCCCGUACACAAAAGCGCAUGUGUUGUGAGCUCGAUGAGUAGGGCGGGACACGUGGUAUCCUGUCUGAAUAUGGGGGGACCAUCCUCCAAGGCUAAAUACUCCUGACUGACCGAUAGUGAACCAGUACCGUGAGGGAAAGGCGAAAAGAACCCCGGCGAGGGGAGUGAAAAAGAACCUGAAACCGUGUACGUACAAGCAGUGGGAGCACCCUUUGGGGUGUGACUGCGUACCUUUUGUAUAAUGGGUCAGCGACUUAUAUUCUGUAGCAAGGUUAACCGAAUAGGGGAGCCGGAGGGAAACC
rnacentral:rRNA from 1 species